GCAUUAAUGGGGUAGUGGUAACCUGGGUCGUUGCCAUGCGAAGCUCAAGCUCGACCCGCCGGGGGUUCGAUUCCCCCUUAAUGCA